rnacentral:rRNA from 1 species
GACGAACGCUGGCGGCGUGCUUAACACAUGCAAGUGGAGCGACGAACCAGGGCUUGCCCUGGGGCAGAGCCGCGAACGGGUGAGUAACACGUGGGUAACCUGCCCAGAUGACCGGGACAACCAGAGGAAACUCGGGCUAAUACCGGAUGUGCUUUCCCCACAUCAGUGGGGUUCGGAAAGGUAGCUUCGGAUUCCGCCUCGGGAUGGGCCCGCGGCCCAUUUGCUUGUUGGUGAGGUAACGGCUCACCAAGGCUUCGAUGGGUAGCUGGUCUGAGAGGACGAUCAGCCACACUGGGACUGAGACACGGCCCAGACUCCUACGGGAGGCAGCAGUGGGGAAUCUUGCGCAAUGCGCGAAAGCGUGACGCAGCAACGCCGCGUGCGGGAAGACGGCCUUCGGGUUGUAAACCGCUUUCAGUUGGGACGAAGCCUUUGCGGUUAAUAGCCGUGGAAGGUGACGGUACCUUCAGAAGAAGCCCCGGCUAACUACGUGCCAGCAGCCGCCGUAA